rnacentral:rRNA from 1 species
GACGAACGCUGGCGGCGUGCUUAACACAUGCAAGUCGAACGGAAAGGCCUUUUCGGAGGUACUCGAGUGGCGAACGGGUGAGUAACACGUGGGUGAUCUGCCCUGCACUCUGGGAUAAGCCUGGGAAACUGGGUCUAAUACCGGAUAGGACCGCACUUUAGUGUGUGUGGUGGAAAGUUUUUUCGGUGUAGGAUGAGCCCGCGGCCUAUCAGCUUGUUGGUGGGGUAAUGGCCUACCAAGGCGGCGACGGGUAGCCGGACUGAGAGGUUGGUCGGCCACAUUGGGACUGAGAUACGGCCCAGACUCCUACGGGAGGCAGCAGUGGGGAAUAUUGCACAAUGGGCGCAAGCCUGAUGCAGCGACGCCGCGUGGGGGAUGACGGCCUUCGGGUUGUAAACUCCUUUCGCCAGGGACGAAGCGUUUUGUGACGGUACCUUGAGAAGAAGCACCGGCUAACUACGUG